rnacentral:rRNA from 1 species
AGAGUUUGAUCCUGGCUCAGGACGAACGCUGGCGGCGUGCUUAACACAUGCAAGUCGAACGCUGAAACCAGAGCUUGCUUUGGUGGAUGAGUGGCGAACGGGUGAGUAACACGUGGGUGAUCUGCCCUACACUUUGGGAUAAGCCUGGGAAACUGGGUCUAAUACCGAAUAUUCACACCACCGUAGGGGUGGUGUGGAAAGCUUUAUGCGGUGUGGGAUGAGCCUGCGGCCUAUCAGCUUGUUGGUGGGGUAAUGGCCUACCAAGGCGUCGACGGGUAGCCGGCCUGAGAGGGUGUACGGCCACAUUGGGACUGAGACACGGCCCAGACUCCUACGGGAGGCAGCAGUGGGGAAUAUUGCACAAUGGGCGCAAGCCUGAUGCAGCGACGCCGCGUGGGGGAUGAAGGCCUUCGGGUUGUAAACUCCUUUCGCUAGGGACGAAGCCUUUUAGGUGACGGUACCUGGAGAAGAAGCACCGGCUAACUACGUG